UCCCGAGGGCUGCGGGUACAGACUGCUGCCCUGCCUUAGCCCACAAUUCCUUUUUAUAGUCAGAGCAAAGCACCUCAGUGCAAUGAAGGGUUCAUGGAGAGGUCAAACUUGUUUACCUCGACCACCUGCUCUGUAUGAUCCUUUUCCCAGGUUCACUACCUUUUGUAGGUGUGAGGAUCAUAGUGAACCUGGGAAAACAUCCUGCCUAUCCCUGUCUCCUGGUGAAGGCCAGGACGAAAGCAUGUUUUUCACUGAGAACUCAAUAGCAAAGCGGCCUGACACACAAGCAGCUCUCCAUAACUGGGCUUCCAGAGCCUCUGAAGCCCAGUCUGCAGUGAUGUACUUCCUCCAGCAAGGCCACACCUCCUAACCCUUUCAACUAGCGCCACUCCCCCGUGACCCAGUAUUCAAAUCUCUGAUUCUAUGGGAGUCACCGACUGCUAAGACUCCUUGGUCAAGGUCGUGGUGGUUGGGCAUUGCCGACUAAGUCCACACCACCUUCACCCAGAGGACUGUGCCAAGCCUUCUGGUAAACUGUGGCAUGAAGGCCACUGGGCUACCCAGAACAUCAUCCUGCAUCCACUGGCAUGCCAGGGCGGUGAGCAAGGUCGUCCCAGAGCUGAAGAAGACACUCACUGGCAUCCUUCAUGUUCCUGCCCUCAACGUGUGGACCUGCCCUUCCCCAGAAAACGCUGCCAAGUAUGCUGAUAUUAAGAAAGUGAUGAAGCUGGGCAUGGUGGUCCAUGCCUGUAACCCAGCACUCUGGAGGCAGAGGCAGGAGGAUCUUUGUGAGUUCAAGGCCAGCCUGGUCUACAAAGCGAGUCCAGGACAGUCAAGGCUAUAGAGAGAGGCCCUGUCUCAAAAAAAAAGUGAUGAAAGGGGCAUCCUGGGUAAACUGAGAUCAGAUUGUCUCCAGAGACUUUAACAACACCUGCUCUUUCACCAUUGCUCUCAAGGGUGACCUUGUCAAUCUCAUUUCCUGGCAUGAGGAUGAAUUUGACUACAGCAACAGGGCAAUGGGUGGACCUGAAGGAACAUCAACAGGCUCGGUGUCAAGGGGCUCAUGCAAACCGUCAUUGCUGCUCUGACUGGAGAAGGUAAUAAUUUUUAUGCUUAGAAGACUGUACAACACCAAUUAUGAUCAGACAGUUAUGCUGCUCCGGAUCGAGGAAUGAGCCAGUUCUCACCAAACUCAAGCAGCUGCAACACCAAGGAUGACAGAAGCCAAGGGGCUCACCACAGGGUCUGCUACAGAAAGGGUCAUCAGCCCAUGACGCACAGGUCAAGCCAGCUCAUUCGUGUGAAGGGUGCUUUGUUUUUACCAAGUGGAAAAGCAAUGUAUUUGUGUGAACCUCAAAUGCCCAUAUCCACGAAUAAGUAAAUAAUUGGACUAA